rnacentral:rRNA from 1 species
UGGGGAAUUUUGGACAAUGGGCGAAAGCCUGAUCCAGCAAUGCCGCGUGUGUGAAGAAGGCCUUCGGGUUGUAAAGCACUUUUGUCCGGAAAGAAAUCCUUGGCUCUAAUACAGUCGGGGGAUGACGGUACCGGAAGAAUAAGCACCGGCUAACUACGUGCCAGCAGCCGCGGUAAUACGUAGGGUGCAAGCGUUAAUCGGAAUUACUGGGCGUAAAGCGUGCGCAGGCGGUUUGCUAAGACCGAUGUGAAAUCCCCGGGCUCAACCUGGGAACUGCAUUGGUGACUGGCAGGCUAGAGUAUGGCAGAGGGGGGUAGAAUUCCACGUGUAGCAGUGAAAUGCGUAGAGAUGUGGAGGAAUACCGAUGGCGAAGGCAGCCCCCUGGGCCAAUACUGACGCUCAUGCACGAAAGCGUGGGGGAGCAAACAGGAUUAGAUACCCCUGGUAGUCCACGCCCUAAACGAUGUCAACUAGUUGUUGGGGAUUCAUUUCCUUAGUAACGUAGCUAACGCGUGAAGUUGACCGCCCGGGAGUACGGUCGCAAGAUUAAAACUCAAA